UUUCCAUAAUAUAAAAAAAGGGCUUAAUAAUAGAAUU
rnacentral:sRNA from 1 species